GGUUUCCUACGGGGGGCAGCAGUGAGGGAUAUUGGUCAAUGGGGGAAACCCUGAACCAGCAACGCCGCGUGAGGGAAGACGGUUUUCGGAUUGUAAACCUCUGUCCUCUGUGAAGAUAAUGACGGUAGCAGAGGAGGAAGCUCCGGCUAACUACGUGCCAGCAGCCGCGGUAAUACGGAGGAUGCGAGCGUUAUCCGGAUUUAUUGGGUUUAAAGGGUGCGUAGGCGGAAUGCCAAGUCAGCGGUAAAAUCGCGGGGCUCAACCUCGCUCCGCCGUUGAAACUGGCGUUCUUGAGUGGGCGAGAG
rnacentral:rRNA from 1 species